rnacentral:tRNA from 3 species
GCCGAAGUGGUGGAACUGGUAGACGCGCUGGCUUCAGGAGCCAGUGGGCGCAAGCCCGUGGGGGUUCGAGUCCCCCCUUCGGCACUA